GACGAACGCUGGCGGCGUGCCUAAUACAUGCAAGUCGAGCGAAUUUACGAGAGCUUGCUCUCGUAAAUUAGCGGCGGACGGGUGAGUAACACGUGGGCAACCUGCCUAUAAGACUGGGAUAACUUCGGGAAACCGGAGCUAAUACCGGAUAAUUCACAUCUACUCAUGUAGAUGUGCUGAAAGACGGUUUACGCUGUCACUUAUAGAUGGGCCCGCGGCGCAUUAGCUAGUUGGUGAGGUAACGGCUCACCAAGGCCACGAUGCGUAGCCGACCUGAGAGGGUGAUCGGCCGCACUGGGACUGAGACACGGCCCAGACUCCUACGGGAGCAGCAGUAGGGAUCUUCCGCAAUGACGAAAGUCUGACGGAGCAACGCCGCGUGAGUGA
rnacentral:rRNA from 1 species